UACUGAAAAUACAAAAACGAGCUGGGUGUGGUGGCACAGGCCUGUAAUACCAGCUACUUGGGAGGCUGAGGCAGGAGAAUCGCUCAUGAGCGUGGGCUCAGCUGGGUUGGGGGCUCAGCUGGGACAAUCCCAUAUGACUUUUCAUCCUUCUUCCUGGCCUGGGGGUCUCAGGAAGCAUUUCAAGAGGGCAAAGGUAGAAAUUGCACUGGAAACCAAUGGGAGUUUACUUUUCAGUCAUGUGCCACCUGGGAACCAAUGAGAGCUGUCUUCUCAGCCACAUGCCUUGUCUGGGGCCCAUCUGGAGAUGACUUUUCAGUCACAUGCCACCUCUGGGAGCCACUGGGAGCCAAUGGGAGCUAACUUCUCAGUCACUUGCCACCUGGGAGCCAAUGGGAACUAUCUUCUCAAUCAUUUGCCACCUGUGGGGAACAUUGGGAGGUGUCUUUUCAGUGAUGUGCCACCUCUGGGAGCCAAUGAUAACUGACUUCUCAGUGACAUGUCCCUAGCAAGACGCCAGCCUCGUGCUGGGGAGAAGACGGAGGGAGCUGGAGCCCAGCUGCCCUCUGCCCACUACUUCCCCUCAGCCGUUGCCCAGAAGGGGCCAAGUCUUGGAGCCGAUGUGGCUGUAAGCCAAAGUGCAGCAGAGUGUAAAACGCUGCCUCUCUCCAGUGGAGAGGGUCUC
rnacentral:lncRNA from 10 species